AAUAAGUACAGUUUUACACUAUUCACGUUCAACGUUUGACCGUUCAUCUUAUUUUAAAAAUUUGUAUGAUUAGUAUUUUUAUUGCUAUUAGAAGAUAAAACGUGAAUAGUACUUUAUGUGUGACUAAAUAUUUUUAAAUUUUUCAUAAAUUUUUUAAAUAAGAUGGACGGUCAAACGUUGAACACUGAUAUCUAUGGCUACACUUAUU
rfam:Oryza sativa Japonica Group DNA, chromosome 4, cultivar: Nipponbare, complete sequence.